rnacentral:rRNA from 1 species
CAGGACGAACGCUGGCGGCGUGCCUAAUACAUGCAAGUCGAACGGUCUUUCUAUGGAAGCUUGCUUCCACUGAAAAGAUAGUGGCGAACGGGUGAGUAACACGUGGGUAACCUGCCCAUAAGAGGGGGGAUAACAUCCGGAAACGGGUGCUAAUACCGCAUAGUUUUCUUGAUCGCAUGAUCGGGAAAGGAAAGACGGCCUUUGUGCUGUCGCUUAUGGAUGGACCCGCGGCGUAUUAGUUAGUUGGUGAGGUAACGGCUCACCAAGACGAUGAUACGUAGCCGACCUGAGAGGGUGAUCGGCCACAUUGGGACUGAGACACGGCCCAAACUCCUACGGGAGGCAGCAGUAGGGAAUCUUCCGCAAUGGACGAAAGUCUGACGGAGCAACGCCGCGUGAGUGAAGAAAAGGUUUUCGGAUCGUAAAACUCUGUUGUCAGAGAAGAACAAGUUGGAGAGUAACUGCUCCAGCCUUGACGGUAUCUGACCAGAAAGCCACGGCUAACUACGUGCCAGCAGCGGC